rnacentral:rRNA from 1 species
GACGAACGCUGGCGGCGUGCCUAAUACAUGCAAGUCGAGCGGACAGAAGGGAGCUUGCUCCCGGAAGUUAGCGGCGGACGGGUGAGUAACACGUGGGCAACCUACCCUGUAGAUCGGGAUAACAUCGAGAAAUCGGUGCUAAUACCGGAUAAUCAUUUGAAGUGCAUGCUUCGAAUGUAAAAGAUGGCUCCGGCUAUCACUACGGGAUGGGCCCGCGGCGCAUUAGCUAGUUGGUAAGGUAAUGGCUUACCAAGGCAACGAUGCGUAGCCGACCUGGGAGGGUGAACGGCCACACUGGGACUGAGACACGGCCCAGACUCCUACGGGAGGCAGCAGUAGGGAAUCUUCCGCAAUGGACGAAAGUCUGACGGAGCAACGCCGCGUGAGUGAUGAAGGUUUUCGGAUCGUAAAGCUCUGUUGUUAGGGAAGAACAAGUGCCGUUUGAAUAAGGCGGCACCUUGACGGUACCUAACCAGAAAGCCACGGCUAACUACGUGCCAGCCGCCGCCGUAAGAC